GAUGAACGCUGGCGGCGUGCCUAAUACAUGCAAGUCGAGCGAACGGACGAGAAGCUUGCUUCUCUGAUGUUAGCGGCGGACGGGUGAGUAACACGUGGAUAACCUACCUAUAAGACUGGGAUAACUUCGGGAAACCGGAGCUAAUACCGGAUAAUAUUUUGAACCGCAUGGUUCAAAAGUGAAAGACGGUCUUGCUGUCACUUAUAGAUGGAUCCGCGCUGCAUUAGCUGGUUGGUAAGGUAACGGCUUACCAAGGCAACGAUGCAUAGCCGACCUGAGAGGGUGAUCGGCCACACUGGAACUGAGACACGGUCCAGACUCCUACGGGAGGCAGCAGUAGGGAAUCUUCCGCAAUGGGCGAAAGCCUGACGGAGCAACGCCGCGUGAGUGAUGAAGGUCUUCGGAUCGUAAAACUCUGUUAUUAGGGAAGAACAUAUGUGUAAGUAACUGUGCACAUCUUGACGGUACCUAAUCAGAAAGCCACGGCUAACUACGU
rnacentral:rRNA from 1 species